rnacentral:rRNA from 1 species
GACGAACGCUGGCGGCGUGCUUAACACAUGCAAGUGGAGCGACGAACCAGGCUUCGGCCUGGGGCAGAGCCGCGAACGGGUGAGUAACACGUGGGUAACCUGCCCUGAUGAUUGGGACAACCCGAGGAAACUCGGGCUAAUACCAAAUGUCGCCCUCCGGCCGUAAGGCCUCGUGGGGAAAGGAAGCUUCGGCCUCCGCAGUCGGGAUGGGGCCCGCGGCCCAUUAGCUUGUUGGUGAGGUAACGGCUCACCAAGGCUACGAUGGGUAGCUGGUCUGAGAGGACGAUCAGCCACACUGGGACUGAGACACGGCCCAGACUCCGUACGGGAGGCAGCAGUGGGGAAUCGUUGCGCAAUGCGACGAAGCGUGACGCAGCAACCGCCGCGGUAGGGGGAAGAAC